CCACGGGGGCUGCAGUGGGGAAUAUUGGACAAUGGGGGGAACCCUGAUCCAGCCAUGCCGCGUGUGUGAAGAAGGCCCUCGGGUUGUAAAGCACUUUCAGUGAGGAAGAACGCCUGGUGGUUAAUACCCAUCAGGAAAGACAUCACUCACAGAAGAAGCACCGGCUAACUCCGUGCCAGCAGCCGCGGUAAUACGGAGGGUGCGAGCGUUAAUCGGAAUUACUGGGCGUAAAGCGCGCGUAGGUGGCUUGAUAAGCCGGUUGUGAAAGCCCCGGGCUCAACCUGGGAACGGCAUCCGGAACUGUCAAGCUAGAGUGCAGGAGAGGAAGGUAGAAUUCCCGGUGUAGCGGUGAAAUGCGUAGAGAUCGGGAGGAAUACCAGUGGCGAAGGCGGCCUUCUGGACUGACACUGACACUGAGGUGCGAAAGCGUGGGUAGCAAACAGGAUUAGAUACCCGAGUAGUC
rnacentral:rRNA from 1 species